rnacentral:lncRNA from 10 species
UCUUUCAGGUUGGCUGCAGAAGGUCCGAAGAAAGAGGAGUUACUGGAGGAAAAAGUGGUUCAGAGGUGACUAUUCAACCGCAUAAGAGAUGGUGAAAAUUAACCUAUCACCACUGCUAAUGAACAUCACCCUAUGGAGAACCGGAGAAGUCAGGCACCAUGUUAUGAGGACACUCAAGCAACCCUGUAGAAAGUUCCAUGUGGUGAGGAACUGAUACCUCCAAUCCAUGGCCAGUACCAAUUUACUUAGCAUGUGAGUGCAUCCUGGAAGUAGAUCCUCUUGUCUCAGCCAUGCCUGAAGCUGACUGCCAUCUCAUGGGAGGCCUCAAGCCAGGACUGUCCAGGCGAGCUGCUCCCAUAUUCUUGAUCCACAGAAACUGUGAAAUAAUUAAUGUUUAUGGUUGUUUCAAGUCACUUACAUUUUAAGUUCAUUUGUUAUGCAGCAGUAGAUAAUGGAAACUCUGUAAACAGGAGCCCAGUCUGGGGAGGAUGGAGAUAGUAAUCAGGAGAGGCUUCCUGGAGGAGGUGUUAGCUGAGCUAUGUCUUGUAGAAUGAGGAGGAGUUCUGAGUAGGAGUUAGUGAGGCAGAGAGUGUUGGGGUGCUAAGGCUUUCCGGGCAGGAGGAACAAUAUGUAUAAAGGACCACUUCAGGCCCCAUCUUCUCUGCAAAGUCUUCCCUAACCAUUCACUGCCUGAGUCAUUCAUUUACUUACUCAUUCAUUCGACAAAGCUUUGAUGAGAGCCUCCUAUGUCCUGGGCUCCAUGCAGAGUACUGGGGUUGCUGUAAGUUGCAUAUUCUGAGACUGCUCAGUUAGGCAUAGAAAACUCAAAUGCCCACAAGGGCUAGGCAAGUAAUGCAAGCCAGGGAAGCUGAGUGGUGCACUGGGAGUCAGGGGUGAGGCCAGAGAGAAGCGGAGAGCCCAAUUCCCAAGAAAGGCCCACCAUUUCUCAGCUCCAGUUGUCAGCUGGCAUGCCAGAAUGUAAGCCCAAAUCUGGCCAGAUCUUCCAAUUUAUCAAGAUAUCUAGAAAUUGUAUUUUAGUAUAAAGUCUCCUAAUUUUCAAAAGGCAGCCAGCCCAAACUUGUUGUCAAAUUUCUCUCUUUCCAGCCUUCUGUUCAGGAGCUCCAUGAGUUGGCUGGUGGAGACUUCAGCUUCUCUCCUGCGCUGACCGCAAAACUUUGUCCUCUGCCUUCUGGUUAGCUUGAGUCCUGUGUGACUGGUGCAAUGACUAAUUGUCUCAAUAGUUUUCUAAGUGGUGGCAUGUAACACUUGAGCUCCACUGAUCUCCCAGGAGGGGAAAGAAAGUUGGUGUUUAUUCACAUGCAGACUUCCAUAGCUCCUCAGCAAAGCCCUCUGUAGCCCAACACCAUUAUGGUAAAGGUGUCGAAGCAAAAUUACAGAAUGUAAGGUAGUUAAUCUGGUGGACAGUGAGCACUUUGUGCAUUUCUGAAGCCACGAUACCUACUGAUAGCAUCCAGGGUUGGCCACCUAGUGACUUUUCAAGACACUGGUAUGUGGCUGUGGGAGUGUCCAUAUCUUAGAAAGAGGACAGUGAGUUUAUGGAAGCCUUCCUGUGUGCAAACAUGGGGCUGUGCAUACAGAAGCUUAUUUAAUCCUCCCAACAGCCCUGGAAGAUUGGUGUUAUCAUUGUUCUCAUUUGCAGAUGAGAAAACAGAGUCCCAGGGAAGCUUACUGAUUUGUCCAGGGUCUUGCAGCCAAUAAGAGGCAGGGCAGGCAUCUCUUCUGGGACUGUUAAGUCUAUGUUCUUAUCUACUCUGCUGUAAUUUUUCUCCCUGGAGCUGAAAAAAAGAAAGCACUGGGGUUUCUGAGUUCUUAUUGGAGAGGAACAGAGCAAUGACAAUCUGAUCGGAGGAGGGUCAGGCUGUGGGGCAUGUAAAGCAGUGCCUAUAGAGCAGGCACAGCUUAUUGUUUUGUUUUGUUUUUUUUUCUCUUAGAAUGAGGUGCUUUCCCUUCUUCUCCUCCUACCCCCAAGUAAGCCCUUGGUGAUGCCACUGAGAGGGACCUAGUUAUGAAAGGAAUUUCAAGGACAACCCAUAUGUCAGAUUUAGUGACAUAGUUUGUACUGAGCUUGUGAGUUAUUAGUCAGGUGAGUCUUUUUCUCUGUUGUAUCAUGUACCUUGAUCUGUGGCGGGAAGCGGCACAAAGGAGAGGAAAUGCCAUAGGCUUUGGAGCCUGGGAAAUGUAAGUUUCAAUCCAGAUUCACUCACUAACUAGGUGUGUGACCUUGGACGCGUUGUAGCCUGUCUGAGCUCCAGUCUCCCCUUCCGGCACACGAGGUCAAGAAUAUGCAAUUUACAGCAACCUCAGGGCUCUUCGUGGAGCCUGGGACAGAGGAGGCUCUCACCAAAGCCUUGUCAAAUGAAUAAGUAAAUGAAUGAAUCAGUCAAUGAAUGGUUAGGGAAGACUUUGCAGAGCAGAUGGGGCUUGAAGCGGUCCUGGAGGAUUUAAUACGUGGAAAAGAGGAGGGAGAAAAUUGAAGAGAGGGAAUUGUAGGCAGGGAAAUGACAUAACCAGCAGCUUGGUGGAGAGAAUUCCAGGCUUAGAGGAUAAUGAAAGGCCAAUAUGGCUUCUGGUGGAGGAGAGGAUGGCCUAGGAGGGGCCUGCACCGACUUCCCCAUCCUGAUUAAAUUUCCUCAGUGGCCAAAGAGCGCUAGGUGCUGACACUAAUAGUUCCUUUAACAGGGCCUUUCAUCUCCUAUUCAAAGUGCUUUGCAAGUGUUAAUUAAAUCUCCAAACACCUCAUGAGAUAAAUAUUAUUUAUCCACCUUUUGUAGAUGAAGACAUUUAGGCACAAAGAGCGGUGAUUUUCCCAGGGCAAUGUCUAGAUGGGUGUCCAUUCCCACCUUCAUUCCAGAAUUGCCAAAACAUGUCUUUAGAAGAAAGCAGAAAAAACAAAUCAGAUCUUUUUUGCCAUCCCCCCUCCUAUACCCUCAUACAUAUAAAAAACAGAAAUUAGGACAAAAAAAAGAUGUUAUUUCAGAUAUUUCUUAGUUAUUUUAAAGUCCCCCCAAUGCAUUCUCAAAUGUAUACCUCCCUUCCCAAUUUUUUAGAACUUACAGGUUACAAGGUUGAGAAAAUUGUUCAGUUGAAUGAUUCACAGGUAUAUUCAGGCCUAAAAAUCCAUGCUUUAUAUUUCUCGUCUGUAACACGGGACCCCUCUUUCAGAGUUGUUGUGAGGAUUAAAGGAGUAAAUUUAUACAAAAGCA